rnacentral:misc_RNA from 1 species
UAAUAAGUGUUUAUGGCACUUUUUAAAUCCAUAUCCACCUUGUGUGCAAUGUCAGUCGAUCUUCUUCAUGGAGAUCGACCAAACAUCAACCUUAUUUUUUGACUCUUUGUCUGAAAAAUAUUAUGAAUAAACAAUUCAAAAUA